rnacentral:rRNA from 1 species
GACUGCUAUCGGAUUGGUACUAAGCCAUGCGAGUCAUUGUAGCAAUACAAGGCGGACGGCUCAGUACACGUAGUCACNUAACCUAUGGACGUGGAUAACUCGGGAAACUGAGAAUAAACCGCGAUAGAUCAUUAUGCCUGGAAUGGCUUAUGGUUCAAACGAUUUAUUGCCGUAGGAUGGGACUGCGGCCUAUCAGCUUGUUGGUGAGGUAAUGGCCCACCAAGGCUAUAACAGGUACGGGCUCUGAGAGGAGAAGCCCGGAGAUGGGUACUGAGACACGGACCCAGGCCCUAUGGGGCGCAGCAGGCGAGAAACCUUAGCAAUGUGCGAAAGCACGACUAGGUUAAUCCGAGUGAUUCCUGUUGAAGGAAUCUUUUGUCAGUCGUAAAACCACAGACGAAUAAGGGGUGGGCAAGUCUGGUGUCAGCCGCCGCGGUAAUACCAGCACCUCGAGUGGUCAGGAGGUUUAUUGGGCCUAAAGCAUCCGUAGCCGGCUUUGCAAGUCUCCGGUUAAAUCCAGCUGCUCAACAGAUGGGCUGCCGGAGAUACUACACAGCUAGGGAGCGGGAGAGGCAGACGGUAUUCUGUGGGUAGGGGUAAAAUCCAUUGAUCCAUAGAGGACCACCAGUGGCGAAGGCGGUCUGCCAGAACGCGUUCGACGGUGAGGGAUGAAAGCUGGGGGAGCAAACCGGAUUAGAUACCCGGGUAGUCCCAGCUGUAAACGAUGCAAACUCGGUGAUGCAUUGGCUUAUGGCCAAUGCAGUGCCGCAGGGAAGCCGUUAAGUUUGCCGCCUGGGAAGUACGGACGCAAGUCUGAAACUUAAAGGAAUUGGCGGGGGAGCACCACAAGGGGUGAAGCCUGCGGUUCAAUUGGAUUCAACGCCGG